GACGAACGCUGGCGGCGUGCUUAACACAUGCAAGUCGAACGGAAAGGCCCUGCUUUUGUGGGGUGCUCGAGUGGCGAACGGGUGAGUAACACGUGAGUAACCUGCCCUUGACUUUGGGAUAACUUCAGGAAACUGGGGCUAAUACCGGAUAGGAGCUCCUGCUGCAUGGUGGGGGUUGGAAAGUUUCGGCGGUUGGGGAUGGACUCGCGGCUUAUCAGCUUGUUGGUGGGGUAGUGGCUUACCAAGGCUUUGACGGGUAGCCGGCCUGAGAGGGUGACCGGCCACAUUGGGACUGAGAUACGGCCCAGACUCCUACUGGAGGCAGCAGUGGGGAACAUUGCACAAUGGGCGGAAGCCUGAUGCAGCAACGCCGCGUGCGGGAUGACGGCCUUCGGGUUGUAAACCGCUUUCGCCUGUGACGAAGCGUGAGUGACGGUAAUGGGUAAAGAAGCACCGGCUAACUACGUG
rnacentral:rRNA from 1 species